CCGACGACCCGGUUCUUCCUGUGCGUUUUCUGGUGGCUUUUCCGGUGGAUUUUCUGAUUAAGUCCUCAAGGUGUUUUGGAGAUUUGUUUCGAGCUGUUCAAUUGGAUGGGUAUUGGAAUGUUAUUUGGAGGAUUGUGAUGUGAACUGUUUAUGGGUUCUUUGGCCGACUAUGUAUCGUUUUGGUUAUUUGAUUGGUAGGCAAUGGGUUUUGGUGUUUUUAUUUCAGUUAUGUUAUAUUUGAGAGAUAGGUAUUGGUAUUUGGGUUGUUCUGACCAAAUAAAUUUUUAAGUUUUGCUGUUGGUUGA